UAUUUUAAAUUACUACUUUAUUAUUAUGACACGAAAUAGUAAAAAUUAUAUAAAAAAAUCAAAUCCAAUCUUCAUUAUUACAUUUUACGUAGGACAUGAAUACAUCCAUAUUUAUUAGCUUAGUAACAAAGAAAUAAAUCAUAUCAAAUCAGAUCAAUUCACAUAUAAACCUCCCUAAUCCAAAAAAUCCGAUUUAAUUCUCGAUCUAAUGUUUACUCUAUAAAUAGGAUCUAAAAUUACAAUGAAAAUCAUCCAUAAUUUACAAAUUUACUAUCCUAAAGUUGUUGCUCUUCACAUCGAAGAACAACAACAACUAAACCCUAAUCUAAGCUUCAACCAUCUCUGCAACGAAAAAAAGAAAAGAAGGGGAGUUAGAAGGAAUUCGAGGUAGAAAGAGGAAAGAAAGAGAAAAGAGUUAAAAGAAGAGAAACUAUACCUUUGCUCAAACCAGGAAAAUCCUCAUCCCUAUAGGUUGGUCCUCUAUUCAUGUCUUGAUCUAUUGCAUGAUGCUUGGGUUUAAUUGUGUGUUUGAUGUGUGUUAGUCCCUGAACUAAGUAAUAACCUGUUUCAAAUGAAAAAAAACAUAACCAAAAUAAGUUUUUAAAUCAAUCCGUGUCCUGUUUCAACAUCAAGAAAAAUACCCCAUCCAUAACUAAAAUCUGUUUCAAAUUAAUCAAUAACUAAAAUCUGUUUCGAAUCAUAAACAUACUCUUCUUCAACUCAAAACCAUACCUUGUUUAAAAUUCAAACCACACCCAGUUUCAAUUUAAAUUAACACCCCUGUAAAAAAAAAUCUUUUUCAAAACACAAAUCAAGUUUAACACUAAUUUUUGUAGAACCAAUACACAAUUUCACAUCCAAAUAUUACCCCGGUAGAAAAAAUUUCAAAACCGAAUUGAAACUAAUAGUAUCCUUUCAACUAAAAAGAACUAUACUCUAUUUCAAUCAAAAACCAAUUUAGAGUCAAAAUAAUCCCCCCCCCCCCNCCCCCCCCCCGAGCCAAAUCAAAAAACGAAACAGAACUGAAUAAAAAAAACAAAAUCAAAACUGACACGAGCUUCACAAUUGCAUCGUCGGCUUCCGUAGAUACCUCAUCCACAUCUGCACACCCCUAUCCCUCAUGAGUCUGCCGACCCUCCAUCAUGCUACCAUGAUUGCGCCGCUUCGUCACGAUUACGCCGACCAUCGCUCUGCCGUGAACACCACCCUUUCUAGCCUCUUUCAAUUUUGUGAGUGCUCGCCUUGUGGAUUUGAGCUCAUUGUUGUUUGGAUUUGUGUUGUUGAGAUUGAUCCAAGUGAAGUGUUAUAUUCAUUUUUGUAAGUGCAACUUUCCGAUAGAUGUAUUUUGUAUGAUGUCAAAACUAGGAUACUUUAGCAUUUAUGUAUAUUGGAUGUAUCCUCUAAGUCUAAAUGUGCAUCUUAGUAUCAGGAAACAUAACAACAUGUUAGAAAAGGUUUAAGAAAGGUUUCGUGCAUCAAAAACUGGUUUUUAUGUGAAAAACAGUCUAUGUGUCGACACAUCGUGCUAUAGGUCGACAAAUAGAAGAUUUUUUUUCUACAGGUCGACAUAUACGAGCUUCAGGUCGACACAUGUAACUCAUAUUUAAAGCCUACAACUUCUUUUUUGUGUGCCGCCUCUACAUGUCGACAUAUGCAUCGUAUGUGCCGACACAUGACUUACAUGGUGUCUUAUAACAAAAAUAAAAAUCCUUUUGACAAUCACCUUAAUAAAAAUAACAUAAAUAAAAAUAUCAUUUAAUGAAUAAUUUACAUUUUCUUCAGAUGCAAAUGUAACUUUAUAUUCAUCCAUGGUGUCUUUUAUAUUAAAAAAGUAUAAAAAACACUUGAGAAAAAUAGAGAUAUUAGAAGGAAAAAAAAUCACAAAAUAGUAAAAAUUUAGCAAGAUCAAUAACACACAAAUUCUGUCAUCAUCCUUUUGGUUACUUCUAUGACCAAUAAACUUAAAAAACUUUAGAGAGGUUCAAGAAAAAUAAUAUAAGAAUUAGAGUAAAUAUUUUAAUGUCAUAAAAUUCUCAGUAUAAAAAAUAUCAGUAACAUUAAAACCAAAACUUAAAUUCAAAACCCUAUUCAAGUCAAAUAAUAACACACAACUCAUUAUAAACUUCAUUCUCUUCCUAAAUACAUAUAGAAUUUCAUUAUAUAACAAAAAGAAAAACAUAAGAAGAAAAUGUUACCUUUUGGAAAUGUUAAUUUUUGGGUAUGCCUUCGUUCGAUCUGGGUAGAUCUAUAACCUGCAAAUAUAAAAGAAGUGGAAAAAGAUAUUAAAAAUAAGGCGAUGUUGAUUCAACAGAUCUGGAAGUGGAUAUGGAAAAUGAUGCAAAUCCGAGCAUUUUGAUUUCCGUUGAAGAGAGAAGGAUGUGAAAUGAUGCAGAUCUGAAAAAAAUGAAAGAACCUGAGGAAAAGUUUAAAUUUUUAAUAAAAUAUGAAAGAUUAGAGAGAUGGAGAAAUUAUGACACUUGGAUUCUUGGCAUUUAUUCUUGCAGUUGAAUCAACAAAUUUGGAAGCAGAUUUUUUUGAAGAAGUCAAAUCUGAAAGAUGAAGUGAGUGUUUUCACGACUUCUAAUGUUGUGAGAAAGAGAGAGGCAUGUUUGAGUGAUGAUAGGGGGAUGAAGCAUAAUAUCUGAGACAAAAGUGUUGUUUGUGUUAUGGUGAAUCAAAAUCUCCUUUUUAAUAGGGGAGAAAGGGUGAUGGCGGCGACUACAGAGGUUUUAAGGUUUGAGGGGGAAAAUGAGAAAAGAAAGAAGACGAAAGAGAGAGAAAAUUGUAAUGUGUGAGAAAUGAUUAAACACAAUGUAUCAGAGGCUUAUGUAUUUGUUUUGGAAUGUAAAGAGUUUUACUGGGAAGAAGAUGAAAAUAAAUAGAGUGUGAAAAGAAGAAAAAAAGGUGUUGUCUUAAGAUACGAAUGGGGUG
rnacentral:lncRNA from 1 species